rnacentral:lncRNA from 1 species
GACUUUAAGCAAAUAUAUUAAUAGGGAUUAUGAAGGAAAAUACAUAGAACCAAAGGGAAAAUCCUUUAAGAAGCCAUAACAAUCAUAAACGUGUAUGCACCUACAAGCAUAACCUCUAAUAUAUAAAAGGAGAAAUUUACAAAUCCACAGUUAAUUUAGGAUAAUUUUAAUAUAUCUCUCUCACGCAGACAAAAGAGAAAAGAUACAGAUAAUUUCAGCAACGAAAUAUACGAACUUGGUUAUAUAUACACACCAGCAGACACUGAGGGGGUCCCCUCUAGGACCACGUGGUACCAAAUCUCAUAGUAUCGGGUGGUUAUCCCCAAUAGCCCUGGAGAUUACAUCAUUACAACAAAGUGAUGAACUUGGAAUUGCUGUAUCCAACUCUAGAAAACAAAAGGGAGAGAGAAUUUUCUGGUCCAAAAUGUCAGUGAUAACCAGGUUGAGAAGUCCUGCUCUAAACUGACGGGUGGGAAAUGUUUUGACUCAGGUGCUUCAAUCUCUCUCUCUCUCUCUAUUUCUUCUUCUUCUUCUUCUUCUUCUUUUUGAGGAAGAUUAGCCCGGAGCUAACACCUGCCACCAAUCCUCCUCUCUCUCUCUUUUUUUUUUUUUGCUGAGGAAGACUGGCCCUGAGCUAACAUCUGUGCCCGUCUUCCUCUAUUUUAUGUGGGACACCUGCCACAGCAUGGCUUGCCAAGCGGUGGGUAGGUCCGCACCCAGGAUCUGAACCAGCAAACCCUGGGCUGCUGAAGCAGAAUGUGUGAACUUAACCGCUGCGCCACAGGGCUGGCCCCAUAUUUCUUCUUAUUAUUAUUUUUAUUUUGUUUAGCCCUUUGGGAGUACAUUGUAGACAUCGUGACUCUUUGCCCCUAAAUACCUCAGUACCCUCUGUAUAAUCACAGAACACAUUUGAUACAGUACAAUUAUCUUGUGUACGAUUUAUGUUCAGAUGUUGCCCAUUGUCCCGACAGUACCGUGGCAGUGUUUUUUUCCCCCAUCUGAAAUGCAGCCCAGGAUUAAGUCUGCAUUCAGUUGUCCUGUCUCUUUUCUCUCCUCUAAUCUGGAACAGUUACUUCCCCAGCCCUCUGUGUCUUUCGCGACCUUGACAUUUCUGCAGAACACAAGCCCAUUGUUUUGUCGAGCGUCCUUGUCCUUGGAUGUGGUUUGUCGGGUUGCUUCCUCAUGAUCAGCUCCAGGUCCUGCGUUUUUGGCAGGAAAGUCUGGCAGGGCCGCCAAGGUCUCAGUGCUCACGGCGGGAGGCACGUGACAUCCGAUGGUCCCAAAUGUUCUCUUUGCUGAACUGGUAUCUGCCGGAUUUCUCCACUGUGAAGUACGCUUUCCCUUCGGGGAUUAAUAAGUAACACGGAAACGGGUGCUUUGAGGCCGAGGACAUUCCUGCCCACCCACAACGGACUUCUCCCCGCUGACGCUUCUCACCUAAAUCAGGUUUUACUCUCAUGGAGCCAAAUGAUUUUCUAACUCCAUCAUUCCUUGAGGCUUCUGACUUGACGAUUCCUCCGCACCCACUGGUGACAAUGAAUGCGUUUUUCCUACGACAGUAGUCAGGUGAUGAUUUUAUAGAUCCAUCACUCCCUCUCUGUCUGUUAGUUGGGACUCUUCUCUCCCUCCGUCAUCUUUCCUUCCUCCCUUUUUCCUCCAUUUUAUAUCUAUCUGGGUAACUCUAUGCAUUCUUUCUUAGUCAAUAUGUUAUAACCUGUUGCCUUCAUUGCUCAGUGCUCAGUUGUCCCCUCUAGGUCAAUACUCAAAUUGUUCCACCGUUGGCAAUGGUGGUCUCUAUCCUUUUCAUUUGUCCCCAUCAUUCUUCAGGCAAUUCCUUGUUUUCUGCCAAAACUUGAUGUUCCGGGCUCCUCUUGUGUUUUUCCUGUUUCAGCCUUGGAAUCAUCCGUUUCCCCAACUUGCCCUGGUUCCUUUCCUUGGGGAGUGAUCUUUAGAAACCAAGAUCUGGGUGCUAGGUGGGCUCAUUGUCACUGGGGUGUCGUUGACCCCACGCCCUUUCAGCAGACAGAGGUAGAAAUCAACCUUCAUUCGUGUUUAAAUAUAUUUACAUCAUGAGCUCAUACCUUCCUCUCAAAUUCCCGUCCAGCACCACAGGCUUCUUUCUCAUCUUCCCCUUCCAUAUUUGUCGCCCCCUUGCUGAAAACCCUGACUCCCAUCAACAUUAAUAUAUGUGCUCAUUUGCCCGGUGCUACGACAACCACAAAAUAGUUUCAACUGUGGCGAACACCAGUAAACCUAUCGAGUAACGUUUAGGCUUUCCUUCCUGUUCCGCCGCCUUUAGAGCAAAGCUGUGACCUUUGGCAAGUUACUUAAGAGCUGUGUGCCUCAGUCUCCCCGUCUGCCUACUAGAGCUAUAACGGCACCCCUCGUAGCAUCGUUGUGGGGAUGAAUGAGUUAAUGUUGGUAAAGUGCCCCCCGGAGUGCCUGGCACGGGGUUGUUCCCACAUCUUGGCUGUCGUGAAUAGUGCUACAGCAAACAUCAAACUAAAAAGCUUCCACCCAGCAAAGGAGACAAUCAACAGAGUGAAAAGGCAACUACAGAGUGGGAGAAGAUAUUUACCAACCAUGUGUCUGAUAAGGGGUAUAUAGCCAAAGUACAUAAGGAACUCCUACAACUCCACAGCAAAAAAUUGAAUAACUCAAUUGAAAAAUGGACUAAGGAGUUGAAUUUUUCCAAAGAAGACACACAAGUGGCCAACAGGUACAUGAAAAGAUGCUCAACGUCACUGAUCAUCAGGGAAAUGCAAAUCAAAACAUUAUACCUGUGAGGAUGGUUGUUACCAAAAAAACAAAGACAAGUGUUGGUGAGGAUGUAGAGAAAUUGAAACCCUCACACACUGUUGAUGGGGAUGCAAAAUGAUGCGGUCGCUAUGGAAGAUAGUAUGGAGGCUACUCAAGAAGUUAAAAGUUGACUACCAUAUGAUCCAGCCACCCCACUUCUGGGUAGUUAUCUGCAAGAGCUGAAACCAGGCUUUCUUUUGCAGUGGGCAGUACUCUCCUUCCCCAGGUGCCCACUGUCCAGAGGUCCCUGCCUUUCUCCUGCACUACCUGCCUCGGGCCUGGGGCCUUUGCUGGGGUGCUCAGGAGCUUCUGAGGGUGGGAUUAACAGGCACUGAAGCUCGGUCACCUCCACAACUUCUAAGUCGGGUUUCUCACCAACGAUGUGAAGAUUUCAUGGAACAAGGGGCCUCUGCCGCCACCUGCUGGGCACCUGGGGAAAGGGCUCUUACGCCCCAAGGAGCCCUUCCUGCUGUCUGGGCAUUUAUAAAUGCAUGCCAGCAAUAGCAAUAACAAUAGCUGUGAUUUAUUAAAUGAUUAUCAGACAUUGUACCAAGUGCUUUCAAGACACGAUGUCUUAAUCUCCAACAGCCUUGAAAUGUGGCUGCCUUAUCCUCAUGUAUUUAUAUAGAGAGAUGAGGAAGCAUGCUCAGCAAGAGAAAGAAUGGUCAACAUCACACAGCCAGCGACUGGCCAGUGGAUUCGAACCCAGGUCUGUCUGGCCCCAAACUGGGGCUGAGCAGCGUCCUGGAGAAAGGCAGAGAGGGAGCGAGAGGGUGGGCAGGAGAGGCUGGAGGGCCGUAGAAGGUUCUGGAAACUACUCCUGGUGCCCUUCCCGGGAAGGUCCACUCACAGCUACUCCCUCUCUGGAUGCCCAGGGCCUUGCUCUGAGUCCUCCUCAGCACAUCCUUCUGCCCACCUUGGGCGUGCACUCCCUCACCCAGCAUCACAGCUGGGGAAACUGAGGCUCCAGAGGUGGAGAAUCUAGACCAUGGAUUCCAGGGAGUGUGGGGCAGAGGGGAGACUGAGCCCAGGCCCUGAGCCCAGUGCUGGGGGGACCCAAGUGAACAACCUGAAACAGGGAAGGCGACCUGAGCCCAAGUUUCUGUCCACGUCAACUCCUCACGAUCCGGGGCCCACAGGGCAGGUGGGCAUAGGGGCUGGGAGACCCUCUGUGGGAUAGAUUCCCGGUGCGCACUCUGAAUGAUGGCCUUGCCACCGUCAAGGGCCCUGCCUGUCCGUCAGGAGGCCUCUCCAAGGGAGGGCCUGCCACGAUGUCGGAGCAGCACUCUUUUCUGGCUCUGCCACUUCCCAGCUCUGUGAUCUUGGGCAACUUCCUUCAGCUUUCCGAGCCUCAGUUUACCCUUCUGUAAAAUGGGACUAAUCGCAGUCUCUACCUCUUCGAGCUGGAUUGGGAACCAAGUGACAACCCAUACGUAAAGCCCUGAGUGCUCAGGAAGCACUUGAUAAAUGGCAUCACUAGGGACCCCCACAGACACACACUAGCCAGGUCUCAAUGCCUCUGCCAGGCUGAGAAGCAGGCGUUGUGGGAUGCCUCUGCAGGGGAAACUGAGUCACUAGGUCAGGAAGUGCCUGGGCCUAGGCUUCAGCUUGAGUCACAGGCCUAAUGCUGGGAAACCUCCCUGCAGCCACCUCCAGAAAUGCUUCGUGCCUCUGUCUGGCGGCCUCAGAGCCUCCACCCCGUGUCACCAGCCAGGGGACCUUCCCCCAAGGAGCCCCC